ensembl:lncRNA
AUGCUGAAAUCUGGCCGAAGGGCUUCACCAAGAGCGAUUUUUCCUUGUGUUCUUGCUGUUGUGUGUGGCAUGGGAAAAGAAGGAAAAGCCCACAGUGCUGCCCCUCUGCUGCACUCCCAGCAGCCUUCAUCCUGCUCUCCUGACCCAGAGCUUGAGGUACUGCAGCAUCCUUCGUGGCUGCAUGUUCUGACCUCCAGAAACCUUUCAGAAUGUUUUGGAGACAACGAAGUAGAACCAACUCAUGCUCUUCAACUCAUCAUCAGCACUACGUGUGCUUGGGCUCCUGGUCCUGAUGUCCAGGUGUUGGUUUGGUGGCAUGGAGGCAGUGGGGCAGCUGAGCUCCUGUCUGCAAGUAAGUGA